GCCCUGCUGGCGCAAUGGUAGCGCGCAAGACUUCUACUCGAUAGAAGAGUAAUCUUGAGGUUGCGAGUUCGAGCCUCGCGUGGGGUG